UGCCGCCAAUUUCUCGGCAUUUCCAGCGGUUCAAACGUUUCUUCUGGGUUUUAGGCAAUUGCCUGGGUUUCCGUUAUUUGAAAAAAGGUGUUUAAUCGCCCGAUCAAUCUAGUGGAAGGGGUGAGUCGGCCAGUGAUUUCGAGAUGAGUGCGACACCUACGUGCAUCAACGUUUAGUGGACCUAAAGGACAUCGUCAGCACCGAGAUUUGCCAGCUGGAAACGCAGUGGGGAUACACGCAAUGGAGGCACGCGUACCACUCGUCCUAGACAAAGAAACGUCCUCCGUGCUUCCGACGAACUUCAAUCGGCGCGAAAUUCCUAAACCUCGAGUCACGAGUUCAUUCAGAGUAAAAUAGCAUGCCGAGGAAAAAUCACUGUUCGGGACGAAAAGUGGAGUUCAGUAAUUUAGAUAAAGCCGGCUGUCACAAAAUCAUAUUGAUCUUGUUUUUGCCCUCCUGCCAUGGAUUUCCUCGGCCUCCAAAGCGGGAU